rnacentral:rRNA from 1 species
GACGAAGCGACGCCGCGUGGGUGAAGAAGGCCUUCGGGUUGUAAAACCCUGUCAGGAGUUAUGAAAUGUAAGUGCGCUAAUAUCGUGCUUAUUUGACAAAGGCUCCAAAGGAAGCCACGGCUAACCCUGUGCCAGCAGCCGCGGUAAUACAGAGGUGGCGAGCGUUGUUCGGAAUUAUUGGGCGUAAAGAGCACGUAGGUGGGUUUGCAAGUCAGAUGUGAAAGCCUUCUGUUCAACGGAAGAAUUGCAUCUGAAACUGCGAGUCUUGAGUGUAGGAGGGGAGAAUGGAACUUCUGGUGGGGCGGUGAAAUGCGUAGAUAUCAGAAGGAACGCCGGCGGCGAAAGCGAUUCUCUGGCCUAUUACUGACACUCAGUGUGCGAAAGCUAGGGGAGCAAACGGGAUUAGAUACCCCGGUAGUCCUAGCCGUAAACGAUGGGCACUAAGUAGAGG